rnacentral:rRNA from 1 species
AUGCUGACACAAAGUGGUCGCCUUAUGCUUGUGCAAUCGGUUCUCACCUCUAUGGUAAUUUUUCAUAUGCUCUCCCUUGACCCUCCACCUUGGGUGCUUAAAGAAGUUGACAAAAUUAGACGAGCUUUUCUUUGGAGGAGAUCAGAAGAAGUUGUUGGGGGACUUUGUCCAGUUAAAUGGGAGGUCGUUUGUCACCCUAAAGAUAAGGGAGGUCUCGGACUAAUCUUGAUAUCCCUUGGCAUGGCUUGCUCGACUAAUCUUGAUAUCCCUUGGCGUCACCUAGGUAUGCUGCUUGGGGCUGAGGAUCGUGCAAUCUUUAACUCAUUUGCCAAAGUGGAACCUGGAAAUGGCGAGUCCAUUCUUUUUUGGUUGAGCUAUUUUACGGUACCCUGGUACUCCCAAAACAUGUGCUGGAGUACAGAACAAAUCUAG